rnacentral:tRNA from 1 species
GGGGACAUAGUUUAGUUGGUAGAGUGCUUGGCUAUUAUGCAGGAGACACUGGGUCCAAUUCCUAGUAUCUCAA